rnacentral:rRNA from 1 species
UACGGAGGGUGCAAGCGUUGUUCGGAAUUACUGGGCGUAAAGCGCUCGUAGGCGGAUUCGUAAGUCAAUUGUGAAAGCCCUGGGCUCAACCCGGGAAUUGCAGUUGAAACUGCGAACCUUGAAUACUUGAGAGGGUGACUAAAUUCCUGGUGUAGAAGUGAAAUUCGUAGAUAUCAGGAGGAAAACCAGAGGCGAAAGCGGUUGCCUGGCAAUGUAUUGACGCUGAGGAGCGAAAGCGUGGGGAGCAAACAGG